CAGAGAGAUGCUGCUGCUUACAGUCUUGUGCUUCAGAUUAGAAUGACUGAUAACAACAUCUGCAGAAGAAAUGGGCUUGUGAAGCCAGAGUUAGUUUGAUCCAAAGAUGCAGCUGAGAACCAGAGCCCGCCAGGGGCUGAUGUCCCCUAACAAGGAGCUUCACAGCUGCUGACACACACACUGAGAUUGCCUGCAUACUUGCUUCUGCAAGCCACAGCCAAGCCAGGCUCCAGAGGGCUCCAGAUCUGUUUUCCUUACAAAUCUCUCCUGUGGAUUACCACUGUGGAGAUUGACUGUACAUAUGAGCUCAGAGAGACACUUGUGAAACUCCAGAAAAGCUUCAGAAGGUGGCAAGGAUGAUGGAGUAAGUGCAUUUGAGAAAGAACCUGAAUUGUGUACCCAGAUGAAGCCAUAUGGACAGGAAGACUGUUCUAAUCUCAGAACCACAAGAGUAGAUUAUGAUGAGUUUCUUUCCAUUCCUUCUGUCAAUGAGCAGUUUAGGAAGAGAAUUAUGACUCAACUCUGAACAAUAAGACAUGGAGAAACUUCUGGGGAAUGUCUUCUUGCUCUUAAAAAGAAAUCCCACGUCUAAGAGGUCCCCCAAGGAAAUGAGAGCAUACAUCUACACAAAGACCUAUUUAUGGAUAUUUAUAGCAGCUUUAUCCAUAACAGCUCGAACUGGAAACAACCCAAAUAGCCAUUAACUGGUGAAUGAAUAAACAAAUUAUGGUAUAUCUAUACAAUGAAAUGACACUCAGCAAUUAGACGAACUACUUAUGUAUGCGGCAGCAUGUAUGACUUAAGAAUUAUGUUUAAUGAAAGAAGCCAGAUACAACAGGCCACCCUAAGGUAUGAUUCCAUUUCUGUGACAUUCUUGCAAAGCCAAAUUUCGAGGACAGAAACCAGAUUAGUGCUUGCCAGGUGCCGGGGUUGAGGGAAGUGACUGCCUACAGAUGGACAUGGGAGAAGAUUGACUAGAAGAAGACAGGAAGCAACUGUUUGCCUUAUGGAAGUGUUCCUUGCCUUGAUUGUUACACAACUGUGUACCUUUGCCAGACCCAUCCAACUGUACAUUUACAAAUGGCGAGUUAUACUGUCCCCACGUCACCUGUUUAUAAACUUGACUUUUUGAA